UACAGAGGGGGCAAGCGUUGUUCGGAAUUACUGGGCGUAAAGGGCGCGUAGGCGGCCCGCUAAGUCGAACGUGAAAUCCCCGGGCUCAACCCGGGAACUGCGUCCGAUACUGGUGGGCUCGAAUCCGGGAGAGGGAUGCGGAAUUCCAGGUGUAGCGGUGAAAUGCGUAGAUAUCUGGAGGAAUACCGGUGGCGAAGGCGGCAUCCUGGACCGGCAUUGACGCUGAGGAGCGAAAGCUAGGGGAGCAAACGGG
rnacentral:rRNA from 1 species